rnacentral:tRNA from 1 species
UUGGAUGUAGCUCAGUGGCAAAGCAUGUGCCUAGCAAGUGCAUUGUCUUGGGUUUGAUCCCCAGUACCAAAA